GUGCUUGCUUCGGCAGCACAUAUGCUAAAAUUAGAAUGAUACAGAGAUUAGCGUGACCCCUGAGCAAGGAUGACACACAGAUUCGUGAAGCAUUCCUUAUUUUU
rnacentral:snRNA from 1 species